rnacentral:rRNA from 1 species
GUCUACAGCCAUGCCACCCUGAACACGUCCGAUCUCGUCUGAUCUCGGAAGCUAAGCAGGAUCGGGCUUUGUUAGUACUUGGAUGGGAGACCACCUAGGAAGACCAGGUGCUGUAGGCG